rnacentral:rRNA from 1 species
UGGGGGGGGCGAGCGUUUGUUCGGAAUUACUGGGCGUAAAGGGCGCGUAGGCGGUAUUGGAAGUCAUGGGUGAAAGUCCUCGGCUCAACCGAGGGAUUGCCUGUGAAACCACGGUACUGGAGUGCUGGAGAGGGAAGUGGAAUUCCCAGUGUAGCGGUGAAAUGCGUAGAUAUUGGGAGGAACAUCUGUGGCGAAGGCGGCUUCCUGGACAGACACUGACGCUGAGGCGCGAAAGCCAGGGGAGCGAACGGGAUUAGAUACCCCGGUAGUCCUGGCUGUAAACGAUGAACACUUGGUGUAGGGGGUGAUGAAAGUCCCCUCUGUGCCCGUAGAGAACUCGAUAAGUGUUCCGCCUGGGGGAGUACGGCCCGCAAGGCUG